GACGAACGCUGGCGGCGUGCCUAAUACAUGCAAGUUGAGCGCUGAAGGUUGGUACUUGUACCAACUGGAUGAGCAGCGGACGGGUGAGUAACGCGUGGGGAAUCUGCCUUUGAGCGGGGGACAACAUUUGGAAACGAAUGCUAAUACCGCAUAAAAACUUUAAACACAAGUUUUAAGUUUGAAAGAUGCAAUUGCAUCACUCAAAGAUGAUCCCGCGUUGUAUUAGCUAGUUGGUGAGGUAAAGGCUCACCAAGGCGAUGAUACAUAGCCGACCUGAGAGGGUGAUCGGCCACAUUGGGACGGAGACACGGCCCAAACUCCUACGGGAGGCAGCAGGAGGGGAUCUUCGGCAAUGGACGAAAGGCUGACCGAGGAACGCCGCGGGAGUGAAGAAGGGUGUCGGAUCGUAAAAAUCUGUUGGUAGAGAAGAACGUUGGUGAGAGGGGAAAGCGCAUCAAGUGACGGUACCUACCCAGAAAGGGACGGCUAACUACGUG
rnacentral:rRNA from 1 species